rnacentral:rRNA from 1 species
AGUGAACGCUGGCCGGGCGUGCUUAAUACAUGCAAGUCGACGGGCAAGUAAGAGCUUGCUUCUUAAAGUAAGUGGCGCACGGGUGAGUAAUGGAAUAGGUUAUCUGCCCUACAAGAGGCCACCAGUGGAAACGCUGCUAAUACUUCUAUACUCCCUUCUUUAACAUAAGUUAGAUAGGGAAAAGUUUUCGGUGUAGGAUGAGGCUAUAUUGUAUCAGCUAGUUGGUGAGGUAAUGGCUCACCAAGGCUAUGACGCAUAACUGGUCUGAGAGGAUGAUCAGUCACACUGGAACUGAGACACGGUCCAGACUCCUACGGGAGGCAGCAGUAGGGAAUAUUGCUCAAUGGGGGAAACCCUGAAGCAGCAACGCCGCGUGGAGGAUGACACUUUUCGGAGCGUAAACUCCUUUUGUUAGGGAAGAACAAUGACGGUACCUAACGAAUAGCACGG